rnacentral:lncRNA from 1 species
CCGAUCUUGGGCUUCAAGCUUCAGAUUUCUGGAUUGCUUAGCACUCUUUACAUGUUUUUUAUUCACUUUUUAAAGACAUUUUAAUUAAUUUGGUGCUGACGAGGGAUUCCAGAUUGACAGCCUUGGAAACUGAGGUCAUUUGUUUGUCCACAAAACAGGUACCACCAAAGCAGCAGAACUGCCGGCUCCCCUAUCAAAGAGCCUUGGGCUCCCCUUUUAAAGCACCUCAACCGAGGCCAGAAAAAUCACCUUCUGCUCUGCCCUUUCUGGGGAGAAUUCAUUUUCCUAAUCAGGCCUCAACCCUGAUGCCAGGAUUGAUUAAAAAAAUGAGCAGGAGCUCACCCUGACCACAGUGCCACAAGAAUAUAUAUUAAAAUUUUGCUCGUUUUGCUGGUCACUCCUUUUUUACCACAAUAAAUGAUGUUUUGCUGUUGUUCUCCAAUGUUUUUUCCAUGAGGCCACAUGGCAUGGGCCCAGUCAGGCCCCAACAUGCUUCCCAAGGCCAGCUGUCCACCCCAGUAGAGACCAAGUGGUGGAUCUUCUCUCCCACUGGAGCAGCAGGGUACAUGGUCCAGUUGUGCUGUCCCAGGGCACAGGAGAUGAACAGCACUGCUACUUCUGUUGUGUUUUCAGUGUUCAUCUGACAGAGCAUGGGAGAAGAAGGAACCUUUCUGACAAGACUACAGAAGCCACGGUCACAGGAGUACUAAUGCAUCCAGAAAAGCUGCCUGUCAAGUUGGGCAAGCAAGGUUUAAUGCUAGCAGUACAAAAGGUGAGCAGCUGUGGUCACUCAGUUAUGGACAUGGAGGAAUGGACUCAUGGGGAGCUGAUGGUGUCCUUGCUCUCAGUCUGCUGGAGAGGGAGCUGCCAUGCAGACUUCAGGUAAAUGGGACUCACAGCAAAGCCUAGAAGUACUAGAAAUGCACCAACAAUUCUACCCCUGAUUAAUUCAUCAGUACUUCCAUACAUGACUUAUCAAUAAUUGUCCCCAAAAUUCUGGCAGCACUUAUGUUCCCCUAUCUUUCCCUCCUUUUGGUCGAGCCACUGUGCUAUAUGUUCAGUUUUUGAUUCUCUUUCCCUGUUCCUUUAAUGUCUUCUUGGUGCUGAGGGGGUGGGUAGGCAGGGUUUUCUUGGACCCCUUCUGUGGAACAGCUGUGAUUGUUUCCCAGGGAUGUGUGAGAGUUGGGAGAGAUAGUGAGGCAUGAUUUUUGCUAUAUGCUGAAAGGCUUUCUCCAUCAACCUGAAGAAGGACCUGAAACGUGGUGAAAAGGUAUAGAGUUGUCAGCUCCAAAACAAAAGCGUUUGCACAGUUGGGAAGUAACUGGACAGUGUCUG